GACGAAGGUGGCAAGCGUUGUUCGGAAUCAUUGGGCUUAAAGCGUACGUAGGCGGCUCUUCAAGUGUCUUGUGAAAUCCCUCGGCUCAACCGAGGAAUUGCUGGGCAUACUGUCGAGCUUGAGGCAGGUAUGGGCGAGUGGAACUCUUGGUGGAGCGGUGGAAUGCAUAGAUAUCAAGAGGAACGCCGGUGGUGAAGACGACUCGCUGGGCCUGUCCUGACGCUGAGGUACGAAAGCCAGGGGAGCAAACGGG
rnacentral:rRNA from 1 species